UGGCUGGCUGCUCCAAGUGCAGGGCCCGCCAAGACCACGCCCACCCGGAACUCCAGCUGACAGCGAGUGGGAACGCAGCGAGUGGGAACGCAGCCCCAGUUGCCACUCACGCCUCUCCCUCCACACCUCCCUGCAAGCUGAGGGAGCCGGCUCCGGCCUUGGCCAGCCCAGAAAGGGGCUCCCACAGUGCAGCGGUGGGCUGAAGGGCUCCUCAAGUGCCCCCAAAGUGGGAGCCCAGGCAGAGGAGGCCCCGAGAGCGAGCAAGGGCUCUGAGGACUGCCAGCACGCUGUCACCUCUCAAAACCACCUCACUUGGUUGUAGGAGGUCAUUGAAGAUUGCCUGGAGGAAGCCAUGUUCAAUGGGCACAUUUGUAGAAUGAUGUGAGCCAGAGUAUGGGGUACUGAAGCAGAAAAGGAUGCCCUUCAAUUUGAUAGAAAAGCACUACAUGAAUCCCUGUAAGACUCCACAAAUUAAACUAGGAGCUGUGUCAACCUGCUCUCUGUUUUACAUCCAUGUGGGAGGGUCUACGAGCACUCAUGUGGACAGUAAGUGGGGGUCAAGUGCAGUCAGUACACCCUGCUGUUGGCAAGUGCCCAGAAUAGCAGAUGUUCCUUUGUAUAAGGAUGAGCAAACAGGAAAAAAUCAACAUGAGAUCUAUAAAAAUUCUGCACCAUAAAGAACCAAAGAGUAUUACCCUGAAAAAGAAUUGCAAAAAUAAAUCCUACUUCUAAAGAUCACUUUCUAAACCAAGUAGAAAACUGGUCUGCUAUGUUCAUAGAAAGGUAUUAAAAAUGUGACCACUGAUACAGCUGACAUUUGUGUAGUGUUUACUAUGUGCUACUUUUAAAACAUACAUACAAGUAUGUAUAUAUUUAUAGAAAUAUAUGAAGCUAGCAUGUCACUAGUCUACAGCUUGAUCAUGUUUCUACAAACUGACUUAUGUAAUCAGAACCAGAUAAAUGGAACAUUAUCAGGCUCUACAAGUCUCUUUUGUCUUCCCUUUCUGUUGCUACU
rnacentral:lncRNA from 10 species